UCAUUCCCGGGAUGAUUUGAUAUAUCAGAUUCUGCGAUAGAUGUACUGUACAUACAGUGUUUAUAGUUGGGAUCAUCUCGAACAAAAUACUCUCAAGUUGCAGUGUUGAACAGAAGCCUCGAACAUGCUUAAAUAAAUGAAUAAAAUUUAGUUUGGUUCCAAGGGUCAAGAGCACCGCGUACGAGCUUCCCAAACCGCCAACUUCAACCCACCCGACACAAAACAAUUCCCCUACCUCAUUGCAAUGCGUCCACGGUGCUCGUAUCGCACCAUAGACGAGCUAUGGACGCAUUCUUGUGGUGGAAUACAGCCAUUGGCCUGGUCUAGACGAUUAAUCACAGCUCACGCCCCUCCAUUUUGCUUUCGCCGUUUCACCUCCAAUCCGAGCACACAUCACAAAAACAUUGCAGUAAUAGGGGCCGGUGUUACUGGCCUCUCAACUGCAUUUCGUCUCUCCCAAGACCAAGAUGCGCGCGUUACGCUCUACGAGAAGGCCCCGAAACUUGGCGGUUGGUUGCAAUCGGAAAUAAUCAAUGUCGACGGCGGGCAAGUGCUGUUUGAAUACGGACCGAGAACCCUACGGGCGGGAUUGGGAGGUAGCUUGUCCACGCUGGAACUGUUAUUCGAUCUAGGCCUCAAAGAUGAUAUUCUGCCAACCGAGACAGAUUCCCCGGCUGCACGUAACCGAUAUAUUUACUAUCCAGACCAUCUUGUGCGUUUGCCAGGACCAUAUCCCGGUGCUGGCGUGUUAGGGAACAUUCUCAUGAAUGUCAUGCAACUAAUUUCAGAGCCCCUACUCUGGAAACUUGCUCUGGAAGUGAUUCUCGAGCCUAGAAGGCCGGUCCGUGACCGAUCGAUAUCUGACGAGUCCAUCGGCGAUUUUAUGAAGCGUCGUUUUGGUCCGAAUGUGGCAGAUGUUGUUGCUUCCGCAUUUUUCCACGGGAUUUAUGCUGGUGAUCUGUACAAACUCAGCGCGCGGUCGAUUUUGCGCAUUGCGUGGGACGAGUUCGAGCUCUCUGAACGAGGCUUUGCGACGGAGUUGAUGGACCAAUUCAAUCAACAGAAAAUCCUUAUGCCGUAUGAUAUUGCCAUGGCUCGUCGGUUGGUUGAGAAGGAGAAAUAUAAAGAGAUACGCCGGUUUGCGACGGGUAAUAACGUUUUAACUCUCCGGCGGGGCAUGGGCCAGCUCGCUACAGCAUUAGAGUCGUCGCUAAGAGGUGCAUCUAAUGUGGAAAUCAAGACUGGUGCUGAUAUUAAAUCCAUCUCCAAGGGGCAAGAUUCAGCGUCUAUGACAGUUAGCCUUGACGAUGGCACCUCUUCCAACUAUGACUACGUAAUAUCUACGACGUCUUCCACAGCUCUCGCCCAGCAACUCCUCGCCUCAGAAGCAGACCCAGCCCCAACAUCCGUAACUGACCUCCUUAAUGAGAAUGACUACGCCGUCACCGUCAUGGUCGUCAAUCUCUACUACAAAAAUCCAAAUCUAAUCCCACACCGCGGUUUCGGUUACCUAAUUCCCCGCUCUGUCCCCAUUGAUCUCAAUCCCGAGCGCGCCCUCGGCGUCAUCUUUGCCUCAGAUAGUAGCGCCGGCCAGGACACAGCUGAGGGUACCAAACUUACCGUAAUCCUGGGCGGACACUGGUGGGAUGACUGGCUCCUCUCAGACCUGCCGGAUGAGGAAAACGCAAUCGCCAUGGCCAAAUCGGUGCUCGCGCGACAUCUGCGCAUUGCUGAUGAGCCUGUCGUUGCCAGAGCGCGGCUGCAACGGGAUGCGAUUCCGCAGCCGAUAGUUGGGCAGGUGACGCAGAUGGAACGGCUCCAUGAUGCCCUGGAGCGCCGGUUUGAGGGGAGAUUGAAGGUUGCUGGGGCAUGGUAUACGGGGGUUGGGGUCAAUGACUCGAUACGGGCUGGGAGGAUUGUGGCAGCGGCGACACUGGAGGGGCAAGAGGGCGUUACG
rnacentral:sRNA from 1 species